AAGUGCUACGACGGAAGUUUUCGGACGGAAGAUGUAGUUACUUAGUGGCGGACGGGUGAGUAACGCGUGGGGAACCUGCCCUGUACCGGGGGAUAGCAGCCGGAAACGGCUGAUAAUACCGCAUAAGCGCACGAAUGUCGCAUGACAUGGUGUGAAAAACUCCGGUGGUAUAGGAUGGACCCGCGUCUGAUUAGCCGGUUGGUGGGGUAAAAGCCUACCAAAGCGAAGAUCAGUAGCCGAGUUGAGAGACUGACCGGCCACAUUGGGACUGAGACACGGCCCAGACUCCUACGGGAGGCAGCAGUGGGGAAUAUUGCACAAUGGGCGAAAGCCUGAUGCAGCGACGCCGCGUGAGCGAAGAAGUAUUUCGGUAUGUAAAGCUCUAUCAGAAGGGAAGAAAAUGACGGUACCUUACUAAGAAGCUCCGGCUAAAUACGUGCCAGCAGCCGCGGUAAUACGUAGGGGGCAAGCGUUAUCCGGAUUCAUUGGGCGUAAAGCGCGCGUAGGCGGUCUGUUAGGUCAGGAGUCAAAUCUGGGGGCUCAACCCCUAUCCGCUCCUGAUACCGGCAGGCUUGAGUCUGGUAUGGGAAGGUGGAAUUCCAAGUGUAGCGGUGAAAUGCGCAGAUAUUUUGGAAGAACACCAGUGGCGAAGGCGGGCCUUUCUGGGCCCUGACUGACGUCUGAGGCGCGAAAGCUAGGGGGAGCGAACAGGAUUAAAUACCCCUGGUAGUCCUUACCUGUAACCGAUGGGACGCUAGGUGUGGGGAGAUUAUACUUU
rnacentral:rRNA from 1 species